GACGAACGCUGGCGGCGUGCUUAACACAUGCAAGUCGAACGGUGAAGCGCCUUCCUUUUUGGUGGGUGUGGAUGAGUGGCGAACGGGUGAGUAACACGUGAGUAACCUGCCCCCUUCUUCUGGAUAACCGCAUGAAAGUGUGGCUAAUACGGGAUAUUCUGGGUCUGUCGCAUGAUGGGUCUGGGAAAGAUAUUGUUUCGGUGGGGGAUGGGCUCGCGGCCUAUCAGCUUGUUGGUGGGGUGAUGGCCUACCAAGGCGGUGACGGGUAGCCGGCCUGAGAGGGUGGACGGUCACACUGGGACUGAGACACGGCCCAGACUCCGACGAGAGGCAGCAGUGGGGAAUAUUGCACAAUGGGCGCAAGCCUGAUGCAGCGACGCCGCGUGAGGGAUGGAGGCCUUCGGGUUGUGAACCUCUUUCGCCGGUGAAGCAGGCCUGCCUCGUUUGUGGGUGGGUUGACGGUAGCUGGAUAAGAAGCGCCGGCUAACUACGUG
rnacentral:rRNA from 1 species